rnacentral:lncRNA from 1 species
UAGUACAUAUUAUGAUGUAAUUGUGAUGUCAUCAGAUAAAAAUGUUUAUGUUUUUAUUUUAUAUUUCUUGACCCUAUGCAUUUCUAAACAUUAUGUGCCAAUUUGAAAUAGAUAUCAAACAUUUUAUUUUCUUGGGCCAAAACCAGGCCUUACUCCUUUGACGUCAUAAUCGGAUUUUAACCUAUAAAGAACUGAGAUCAAACAAACCACACAUUGAUUAAAUUUUUUUAUACAAUGGGUGCAGAUAGGGAUAAAUUGACGUAGAAUCAUUUUUACUUCAGUAUUUUUUUUAGAUCCAUUUUAAUUCAUUUGUAGUUUGAAAAGUUCCAUGUAUUUUCUAUAAAGG